GAAAAUGUUUGUUUAUUCUGAUACAAUGGCAGAUUUACGCAUAAUUUGUGGACCUGCACUUAAUCAAAUCACAUGAACAUGUAGGCAAACACGUGCGGCCAUGCUUGUGUCUUUCAUCAAAUGUGAUUGAUAAAGAAAAGAAUUAGUGUAAGGAGUUGCAUUGUUGGAGGGCAUCGUUGUAAGCCAAACCUCUAUCGUCACAGCGAGCGGAGUUCCAGUAAUUGCAUUUUAAGGAGUAAUAAUUGACAUUUCAGGUACAAGAAGAGAAGAGCCUGGCUCAAUUGUAGAGUAUAUACCUCUCGAGAAUGACACAGGAAUGUCAUGAAUACGAAGACAGCAAAUUUUUGGCAUCUUUUACCUUUCAGGGGACAGCAGAUCAGCACACAGCCUUCACAAUGUUCUCUGUCUGUGAUGAUUUCGUUCUUUUAUUUACAGUCUUCCAUGGUGAUGGAGCCCACAAACUAUGUUCCACAAACUCCGUUCCACAUUCUUUGACUCCACCUAUGGGCAGCGUGGAUGGUGAAUGCUGGCUGAUGGCACCCUCACCCAAUUGCAGGAAGCCUGCUGCUCAGCAGCUUGAGUGGUCCCAGAAGAGCUGGAGGAACACUCAGUGCAGCAGUCCUGACAUGAAUUGUCCAAAACGGCUAACUUGCCUGAGUAUAAUGACUUCAGCUAGAGUUGUAUUUAUCAGCCAGCUCCAGCCUUCAAGGACUUGGUUCUAAAAGAACCCUGAAUUGAUUAGUUACCCACCUAAACAGGUUUUACAUUCCAGAUGAGCUCCUUUAUUCAAAUGACAGAGGGCCAUUAUGUUGCUAGAAUGAUUACCAUGUCCUCCAUAUAUGGCUCCAAGUGAAUCAGUGAUCACUUUUAUAAGAAAAUUUGCUCCUACAAACUCCUCUGAUUUAAUGCUGCGGUCAUGGAUCCAGAUUGAGUUACAUUCCUACGCCUACCUGAAGAUAAGUGGACUUCCAGCCUCACCACCAGACACGUUCAUAUUUCAGGUCCCCGCCAUGAUGGCUCUGAGCGUUGUGGUGUGGCUACAGGAGAUCAGUACUGCGCAAAUGAGCAGCAAGGCUGAAGAUCUGGAUAAAAUUUUACUUCAAGCCUUAUUUUAUUACUCCACCAACAGCCUCCUCUUUAACUUUGUUCUCCCUGUGGGUAAAGUUUGAAAUGUCCCACUGAAUGGUGGAGUCCAACUACAGCAAUUGUACAAUGAUGGCAUUCUGUAGCAAGUAUGUCAAAGGGGAAGCUUUCAGUGCGUUUACUGAGCUUUUCAUGAUACAGGUAUCUGAUGCAUCCAAAAAUUGUUUUAGUUCUUCGUCCUUCUUCAAGAUAAUCUUACUGAACAUUAAAGAAAACUGUGUGAUGUUUAUUUUUUUGUCAAAUUUCUGUGGCAAUACUGCAUGCUACUGCAGCAGGCAGCGAGGGGAAUCUUAAAAUGUUUUGCCAGUCCAGUGCCCAAAAUCUCUCUAAAUCCCAGAGGUAUUGCAAGCUUUUGGCAGAGUAGAGGCUGGCAUGAAAAGCCACGGACAUUCCACCUACAGUAACAGAGCUCUGGUAAAGGAAUCUGUAGGCUGGAAACUGAACGCAUGGAGGAGCAGAUAUGGGUCACCAUAUGGGCCCUCAGUCAUUGGCUCCAUCAUCACUGUUUGUAUCAAGAGCCAGAGCCAAGCUCUCCAUAACGUGUCUCCUUCUCCACAUCCACCUUUGCUAGCUCCUCUAUGUUUCUCUUCCUACAGAGGGAACAGUGCAUUUCUGCUUAUCAUUGUGGCACUGAGGGAUGUGGUUUAGAGAGCAUAGUGAUCGUGGUUGGAUUAGAGGAUUUUAGUGGUCUUUUCCAACCUUAAUGAUUCUAUGAUUUUAUGAUCUCUUCCAUAGGGCAGCAGAACUCAGUUUUCCUGCUCUUGAAAAGUUGGCCCUGGCCAAAAGUCUGGCUUGCAUUUACACUGCAACCCCGUUUUGUUUGCUUGGCUUUCACGCUCCUAUGACCUGCCCACAACAACAGAGCAGUUACCAGCCUCCUGGUUAUUAGGAACCAUAUUGUAGAGCUGUAUCCACAUUUUUCAAAGUUUUAUCACUUGUGGAAUUCUUCCAAAGAGAUAUGGAAAAAAAAAAACCACCACCAACGACAGCAACAAACCCAAACCCACAAGCCACAUGACAGGACCAUGCAUCAGUAGUUCUAACCUUCGUCAGCUUGUUGUUCAGUUUAUGAUUAUUCUGUGUACAGGAUAGAUUAUAAAAUGUUCCCUUGACAUCAUCUCAAUGACAAUCUGGUUUGAAGUAAGGGAAGAUUUUAAUGGAAAAAUAUCCAAACACAUCUUGAAAACAUUUUUGACUCUUGUUGUCCCAAAUCCCUCAUUUCUGUCCUGUAGGGUAGAAAAUGUUGCUAUUUCCAGUUUCUGGAUACCAUAAUCUGGCUGAUUUAUUUUUAUAACCAAAAUAAUUGUAUGUCUGAUUUGCCAAGAAUUUAAAAAAUUCCAGGCAGCUCUCAGUAUUUAUGUCACCAUAGCACCAGUUGUCCUGGCAGGGGUUGGGGAUUUUUACAGUGCAUGCUGUACAAGCAGAGCCUUCAAAAAGAAUCUGCGUUAGAGCUUGAUUCUUUACUUCUGCAACCCAUUUCUGCCAUGUUUCAUUCACUGUGAGAAAAUGUGAGGUACUGAGAUGGAUAUCACCACUCAACUAGUGAACACUAGUAGUAGAUCGCCAGCUGAAAGUAUAUCUUGUCCUGUUGCAGUAAGGUGAAGCUAACAGGAUCUUUCUGCUGGGAUUAUAUGUGGAGAUAUAAUAUGAUAGCUGCUGAUGUAAAAACACAUCCUUUCUCAAGUACAAAUGUAGAAGCCAGGUGAUUCCUUAGGAGAAGAACCACUGUCAUGCAAAGCUGAACCAGUUGGUGGACGCUUAGGUAAUAAAUGAUGACAACAUCUAGACAGGAGAUGAAAUGUUUUGUGGAGGGAGUUCAGUGUCAGAUUCAGAGCAAGCUUGGGAACUCUCUCCACUUCUCCAGAUCUCCCACAGGCUUCA
ensembl:lncRNA